UGCAGAGAUGCGGGAGUGCCUUCGGGAACUCUGAGACAGGUGCUGCAUGGCUGUCGUCAGCUCGUGUUGUGAAAUGUUGGGUUAAGUCCCGCAACGAGCGCAACCCUUAUCCUUUGUUGCCAGCGGUCCGGCCGGGAACUCAAAGGAGACUGCCGGUGAUAAACCGGAGGAAGGUGGGGAUGACGUCAAGUCAUCAUGGCCCUUACGACCAGGGCUACACACGUGCUACAAUGGCGCAUACAAAGAGAAGCGACCUCGCGAGAGCAAGCGGACCUCAUAAAGUGCGUCGUAGUCCGGAUUGGAGUCUGCAACUCGACUCCAUGAAGUCGGAAUCGCUAGUAAUCGUGGAUCAGAAUGCCACGGUGAAUACGUUCCCGGGCCUUGUACACACCGCCCGUCACACCAUGGGAGUGGGUUGCAAAAGAAGUAGGUAGCUUAACCUUCGGGAGGGCGCUUACCACUUUGUGAUUCAUGACUGGGGUGAAGUCGUAACAAGGUAACCGUAGGGGAACCUGCGGUUGGAUCACCUCCUUA
rnacentral:rRNA from 1 species